rnacentral:rRNA from 1 species
AAAUUGAAGAGUUUGAUCAUGGCUCAGAUUGAACGCUGGCGGCAGGCCUAACACAUGCAAGUCGAACGGUAACAGGAAGAAGCUUGCUUCUUUGCUGACGAGUGGCGGACGGGUGAGUAAUGUCUGGGAAACUGCCUGAUGGAGGGGGAUAACUACUGGAAACGGUAGCUAAUACCGCAUAACGUCGCAAGACCAAAGAGGGGGAGCUUCGGGCCUCUUGCCAUCGGAUGUG